rnacentral:rRNA from 1 species
GAAGGGGGCGAGCGUUGUUCGGAUUUACUGGGCGUAAAGGGCGCGCAGGCGGCUAUUUUUGUCAGGCGUGAAAGCCCCGGGCUUAACCUGGGAACUGCGCUUGAAACGGGAUGGCUAGAGAUCGGGAGAGGAGAGUGGAAUUCCCAGUGUAGAGGUGAAAUUCGUAGAUAUUGGGAAGAACACCGGUGGCGAAGGCGGCUCUCUGGACCGAUACUGACGCUGAGGCGCGAAAGCGUGGGGAGCAAACAGGAUUAGAUACCCUGGUAGUCCACGCUGUAAACGAUGUGUGCUAGACGUUGGGGAGCCUAGCUCUUCGGUGUCGCAGCUAACGCGGUAAGCACACCGCCUGGGGAGUACGGCCGCAAGG